rnacentral:rRNA from 1 species
AUUGAACGCUGGCGGCAGGCCUAACACAUGCAAGUCGAACGGCUGCAGAGAACUUGCUUCCUGUUUCAGCGGCGGACGGGCGAGUAAUGCCUAGAAAUCUGCGUGGCUACGUUUUAGUACGUGCGAACACGGGCGCACUUACCGCAAUCCCCCAUAGGAACUAAGUGGGGGAGCUUCGGAUCUUCCGCUCUUAGACGAUCCUAUGUCGGAUUAGCUAGUUGGCGGGGUAAAGGCCUACCAAGGCGACGAUCCGUAACUGGUCUGAGAGGAUGAUCAGCCACACUGGAACUGAGACACGGUCCAGACUCCUACGGGAGGCAGCAGUGGGGAAUAUUGGACAAUGGGCGCAAGCCUGAUCCAGCCAUACCGCGUGUGUGAAGAAGGCCUUCGGGUUGUAAAGCACUUUUGGUUGGAAAGAAAAGCAGCAGGUUAAUACCCCGCUGUUCUGACGGUACCCAAAGAAUAAGCACCGGCUAACUUCGUG